GACAUUGGAAGCUUGCUUCCGAUGGGCGUCGACCGGCGCACGGGUGAGUAACGCGUAUCCAACCUGCCCACCACUUGGGAAUAACCUUGCGAAAGUAAGACUAAUGCCCAAUGACGUUGAAAGAAGACAUCUGAUUUCAACUAAAGAUUCAUCGGUGAUGGAUGGGGAUGCGUCCGAUUAGCUUGUUGGCGGGGUAACGGCCCACCAAGGCGACGAUCGGUAGGGGUUCUGAGAGGAAGGUCCCCCACAUUGGAACUGAGACACGGUCCAAACUCCUACGGGAGGCAGCAGUGAGGAAUAUUGGUCAAUGGGCGAGAGCCUGAACCAGCCAAGUAGCGUGCAGGAUGACGGCCCUAUGGGUUGUAAACUGCUUUUAUAAGGGAAUAAAGUGGGGCUCGUGAGCUCCUUUGCAUGUACCUUAUGAAUAAGGACCGGCUAAUUCCGUGCCAGCAGCCGCGGUAAUACGGAAGGUCCGGGCGUUAUCCGGAUUUAUUGGGUUUAAAGGGAGCGUAGGCCGCAGGUUAAGCGUGUUGUGAAAUGUAGGGGCUCAACCUCUGCACUGCAGCGCGAACUGGCUUGCUUGAGUACGCACAACGUGGGCGGAAUUCGUGGUGUAGCGGUGAAAUGCUUAGAUAUCACGAAGAACUCCGAUUGCGAAGGCAGCUCACGGGAGCGCAACUGACGCUGAAGCUCGAAAGUGCGGGUAUCGAACAGGAUUAGAUACCCUGGUAGUCCGCACGGUAAACGAUGGAUGCCCGCUGUUGGCUUGAAUUAGUCAGCGGCCAAGCG
rnacentral:rRNA from 1 species